CCUACGGGAGGCAGCAGUGAGGAAUAUUGGUCAAUGGGAGAGAUCCUGAACCAGCCAAGCCGCGUGAGGGAAGACGGCCCUAUGGGUUGUAAACCUCUUUUGUCGGAGAACAAAACCCGGGACGUGUCCCGGACUGCGUGUAUCCGAAGAAAAAGCAUCGUCUAACUCCGUGCCAGCAGCCGCGGUAAUACGGAGGAUGCGAGCGUUAUCCGGAUUUAUUGGGUUUAAAGGGUGCGUGGGCGGUCCGUUAAGUCAGCGGUAAAAGUGCGGGGCUCAACCCCGUCGUGCCGUUGAAACUGGCAGACUUGAGUUGGCGAGAAGUACGCGGAAUGCGCGGGGUAGCGGUGAAAUGCAUAGAUAUCGCGCAGAACUCCGAUUGCGAAGGCAGCGUACCGGCGCCAGACUGACGCUGAGGCACGAAAGCGUGGGGAUCGAACAGGAUUAGAUACCCGGGUAGUC
rnacentral:rRNA from 1 species